rnacentral:tRNA from 1 species
CGCGAUCCAUGGCGGGCGCCGCGUGCGCGCACGCUGUUCACGCGUCCGGCGACGUCGCCGCGGCGCACGCUGCUGUUCCGUCUCGGCGCGGUCGUGG